rnacentral:rRNA from 1 species
GACGAACGCUGGCGGCGUGCUUAACACAUGCAAGUCGAACGGAAAGGCCCUGCUUUUGUGGGGUGCUCGAGUGGCGAACGGGUGAGUAACACGUGAGUAACCUGCCCUUGACUUUGGGAUAACUUCAGGAAACUGGGGCUAAUACCGGCUAGGAGCUCCUGCUGCAUGGUGGGGGUUGGAAAGUUUCGGCGGUUGGGGAUGGACUCGCGCCUUAUCAGCUUGUUGGUUGGGUAGUGGCAUACCAAGGCUUUGACGGGUAGCAUGCCUGCGAGGGUGACCGGCCACAUUGCGACGGAGAUACGGCCCAGACUCCUACGGGAGGCAGCGGUGGGGAAUAUUGCACAAUGGGCGGAAGCCUGAUGCAGCAACGCCGCGUGCGGGAUGACGGCCUUCGGUUUGUAAACCACUUUCGCCUGUGACGAAGCGUGAGUGACGGUAAUGGGUAAAGAAGCACCGGCUAACUACGUG